UCCGGUCGCCAUUUUGAAGGCGGCGGUGGGAGGGACUGAGGGGCUGAUGUGCUCAGCGCUUUUAAUUCUCUAAAGCGGCCUUGAAGCAGUACCACGCUGAUACAAGGGCUAUGGCACUGUGGCCUUACAGCUCUGACAACACUUAAAGAACCUCCAAGAAAGACAGCUUGGCUCUUCAGGUUUUGGCACCUAGCCUGAUUGACCUCUUCCUAUUGCAAUGUCUGAACGAUUCCCCAAGUUUUGUUCUGAGAUGGAUGCAGGAUUUUAGCACCAGCGCCUCAGGAGCCUCCACAGAAUGCACUUCCAUUGCUUCGGAGGGUCUCAGGUUCAGCUACUCCAUUACAGAUUGAACUCAAAAUUAUUCUCCAAAGGAUUGGGGUUUGAUCCCUCAGGGGUUCUGGAGUCCUGUACGCUCUGUGUGCCGUGGGCCAGCCACCAAGCACUGCCACACUGACAGCAAACCAUAGAAGUCCUGAUGACAUUAGAAAUAAACUGCCUUAGAACCCUGAAGAUCUCAAUUAAAUUUGACGUCCCAGAGCAUCCUCAGGCCUUGCAGCAUCUGAAACACUGGGGCUGUGUGGUUGAAUCAACCUGCAGCAAGCCCGGUUGCCCCAACUUUAAGAAAAGCACAAGCCUGUGAUGCAAACCCUCAAACAAACCUCUAACCGUAGCACCCAGAAUAACUCUGCUCUGCUCACUGCUGGGAGACUAGGCCCUAGAAGGGAGUAUUUUUCCACCUUUCAAAUACCUGCCAUGGAGCAAGGCAUUGCCCCUAUUUCUCGCCGCAUAGGCACAGACAGCUCAUUUGUGCACUCUUUUCCUCCCCAGUGUGACUCCAAGCUUCUGGCUCAGACUGUUCCCCCCUGUGUCUAUGCUUUUGGUCUCUUGCCACCAUCCAAUUUACCUGGCAGCUUGCCACAUGUCUGCCCCGGUGCUGGAUUGUUUCUGUCUCCUUCUGACAUUGGCUCCUUGCCUGCAGAAUUGCUUUAAUUAAAAAGUUAAUGAAAGGUACUGCAAACGAGUGUUUUGCCUGUGUUUUAUCACAGUCCAGCUCCUCUCCCUCCCUUUUUCCCAGAGAAGGUGAAAAUGAAGCGCUGGGGUUUUGCUGCUUUUAUAGUGAGAGUUAGUGGAAAUUUCUACUGACUUAGGAGGAGCCCUGUGAAGAAAGAAAUUAUAAUGGUAAUGCAUGCAAGCAAGUAUGUAGAUGGUGAACGUUAUUCACCAAUGAAAGCUGAGGAAGUUUUCAUUUAAAGGGGAUUAAUCUAAGCCCCUUACAGUUCUCUUUGUAACAGGCGGUUCUCAGCAUCAUUUUCCUCCUAAGAUUAGUGUGAACUCCUGGAAAACUUUCUAAAAGAAUAUUCCCCAACUCCCAGUUGUCCCAAGCAGGCACAAAGGGAAGGUGAAAAACCUCACGCCUGCAGCGUGUGACCUUGGAUCCUCAGAGAAGAGGGCUCGUUCAUCCCUAUGUGAUUUCCCUGAGAGACUGGGAAAUGAAGAUCGGUAUGUGAAGCAAUGGGAGUCACUUCAUAAGCCCCUUCUCCCACCCUGGCUUCCUCCCAGACAGAAGGGAGAAGAGGAGAAUGCAGAGGUGUGAGGAUGGUAUUUUCCCACAUGCAAGAUGUGGCAGCUUGCUGGAAGUCAGUCACAUCAUUUCUAUAUCCUCCAUCUAUAGAGGUAGUCUGAGAGCUGCUAUUUGGGUUAUUUGUCCUUCCUGUGCUGCCCCUCCCUCAGUGUGGGGUGUUCAAUUUUCUUGAUCUUGUUUUUAAAGCCCUCGUGAAAUGAGUAUGAUUCUGUGUGUGUGUGUUUUAAUAUCUACAGUGAAUUUCUUAGCACUGAUUUAUUGCUGUUCCUUGUUGACAUUUAGUACCCAGUGCUUGAGAUGUAUAAAUAAAUUACAUUAAAAUGGAUUUGUGACAUCAUUAGCAGCACACCCAUUCCAAGGGGAGCCUCCAGUGAGCCUGUGUGUCUAAUCAGAGCUGACAGGGAGCAGAGUUACGCAUGGAGACCUCCAAAGCUGAUGAGUCUGUGCCAAACGCAGCUCUCCGUUGUGUUGGUGUACAGCUGAGUAACCUCUGGAUGCAGGGAGAUUUGCACUGGGUUUGCACUGCAUGUAUACCUGUGCACUGAGGUCAAUUUAAGGGCUUCUGUGCAGAUAGCAUGCCUUAAGGUCUUCUGAAGCAAAGGAAAG
ensembl:lncRNA